rnacentral:lncRNA from 1 species
ACCUUGGGAGAGUUAAAUUCUCUGAACUGACAAAACUUUAAAGGAAUGAAAGAAGUCCUUUCGGAAGCUGCCUGAGGAGAAGGGAAACACCGUCUUGAUCAAUCCUUGGGGACCUGCACUCUCAGAGAUGGAUGUAGAACGAUUCUUUCUCUGGCCUUGGCUGAAUGAGUCUGUUUACAUAGCUUUUCUGACUCUUGCUUUUCCCUGUGGAUGUGGAGAGGUUUCUAAGGGCCUCAGAUUUAAAAUGCCAAAUACAGUGUGGAUUGAAUUUCAGUUCUCUUGGGUGGUCUAACAUCUCAUCUGAUGAAGGAAGGAAAGAAGAAGGAUUAUAAUAAUAACUACUUUCAUCAUCGUCAUCAGUAUUCCACCUAUACCUGAUCUCUCUGCCAGCCUGACAACAAUUACUAGCUCAAGUGAUUUAUUCAAGGAAUAAGGAACGAGGUGAAAUUCAAACUCACAUCUCUCUGAUUGUAAAACUGGUGCAUUUUCUACUACACCAAGCCUCCUCUUCAUCUUGAGGUAAGAAUGUUUUCCAUCUGAAUGCAUCUUUUAUAUUAUGAUGAAAGUCAGUGGAAAGAUAAAUUUAGCAAAAUUCACUUUAAACAUCUUCUGUGAGUCAAAUCCUUUUUGAAAAUUACAACCCCUAUGGUGCUUCAUAUUACAUCACUGAAGUUCAACCUGCUAAAUCCCUGCCCCUGCCAGUCACACCAGUGUCCUUGUUUCUGAGAAAAAGCCUUGGUUUUCUUUCCUGGGAGACAUGGAAUUAAUGCAUAUUUUGCAGUGAAUUCUAUGCAAAGUAACUAUGAAGGAAUAGGGCUGGGGGUGGCCUUUGUUUUCAAGGAACUUCAGCUCCAUUGGGGAAGAUACAUAUAGAGUGAACGGAAUUUCUUCCAAGCCAGUUGGAUGUAUGCAACCAUCAGCCCUAAUAGUGGGGUGACAGCUACAGAGGAAGGGUCAAGUAUUAGUAGGAUGGUACGUCAGGGAAGGAAGACUUUAGGGAGUCAAAAUGUUGAGCUAUGUCUUGAAGCAAGAGAAGAAUUCCUCAGCAGAA